rnacentral:misc_RNA from 1 species
GAUGAAGAACGUAGCAAAAUGCGAUAAGUAAUGUGAAUUGCAGAAUUCAGUGAAUCAUCGAAUCUUUGAACGCACAUUGCGCCCGCCAGUAUUCUGGCGGGCAUGCCUGUUCGAGUGUCAUUUCAACCCUCAAGCACAGCUUGGUGUUGGGACUCGCGUUAAUUCGCGUUCCCCAAAUUGAUUGGCGGUCACGUCGAGCUUCCAUAGCGUAGUAGUAAAACCCUCGUUACUGGUAAUCGUCGCGGCCACGCCGUUAAACCCCAACUUCUGAAUGUUGACCUCGGAUCAGGUAGGAAUACCCGCUGAACUUAAGCAUAUCAAUAAGCGGAGGA